CCCUAGCCCCGAUAGUAGUGGGAAUCCUUUUGCUUUUUCCUUUAAAAAGCAAAAGAUUGGAGCGGAUAGCGGGAAAUAGC
rnacentral:sRNA from 1 species